rnacentral:rRNA from 1 species
GGUUAAGCGACUAAGCGUACACGGUGGAUGCCCUGGCAGUCAGAGGCGAUGAAGGGCGUGCUAAUCUGCGAUAAGCGCCGGUAAGGUGAUAUGAACCGUUAUAACCGGCGAUACCCGAAUGGGGAAACCCAGUGUGAUUCGUCACACUAUCAUUAACUGAAUCCAUAGGUUAAUGAGGCGAACCGGGGGAACUGAAACAUCUAAGUACCCCGAGGAAAAGAAAUCAACCGAGAUUCCCCCAGUAGCGGCGAGCGAACGGGGAGGAGCCCAGAGCCUGAAUCAGCAUGUGUGUUAGUGGAAGCGUCUGGAAAGGCGCGCGAUACAGGGUGACAGCCCCGUACACAAAAGCGCAUGUGCUGUGAGCUCGAUGAGUAGGGCGGGACACGUGGUAUCCUGUCUGAAUAUGGGGGGACCAUCCUCCAAGGCUAAAUACUCCUGACUGACCGAUAGUGAACCAGUACCGUGAGGGAAAGGCGAAAAGAACCCCGGCGAGGGGAGUGAAAAAGAACCUGAAACCGUGUACGUACAAGCAGUGGGAGCCCCACCACUAAGCCAGUGGUGAACUCCACAUCCGCAUCCUUUGCUGAGGAUACGGUUAACGGAGCGAAAGCGACGUUCAACCGCAAAACAAGCAGAGGGGGCUUAGUGGUGGGGUGACUGCGUACCUUUUGUAUAAUGGGUCAGCGACUUAUAUUCUGUAGCAAGGUUAACCGAAUAGGGGAGCCGGAGGGAAACCGAGUCUUAAUUGGGCGUUAAGUUGCAGGGUAUAGACCCGAAACCCGGUGAUCUAGCCAUGGGCAGGUUGAAGGUUGGGUAACACUAACUGGAGGACCGAACCGACUAAUGUUGAAAAAUUAGCGGAUGACCUGUGGCUGGGGGUGAAAGGCCAAUCAAACCGGGAGAUAGCUGGUUCUCCCCGAAAGCUAUUUAGGUAGCGCCUCGUGAAUUCAUCUCCGGGGGUAGAGCACUGUUUCGGCUAGGGGGCCAUCCCGGCUUACCAACCCGAUGCAAACUGCGAAUACCGGAGAAUGUUAUCACGGGAGACACACGGCGGGUGCUAACGUCCGUCGUGAAGAGGGAAACAACCCAGACCGCCAGCUAAGGUCCCAAAGUCAUGGUUAAGUGGGAAACGAUGUGGGAAGGCCCAGACAGCCAGGAUGUUGGCUUAGAAGCAGCCAUCAUUUAAAGAAAGCGUAAUAGCUCACUGGUCGAGUCGGCCUGCGCGGAAGAUGUAACGGGGCUAAACCAUGCACCGAAGCUGCGGCAGCGAACGUAUCACCCAAGACAACUUUACGGAGUUGACGAUUGACGGAGCGAAGCGACGUCAAAGCGUUCAUUAAAGUCGAGUUGGCUUAGGGAUACGUUCGUUGGGUAGGGGAGCGUUCUGUAAGCCUGUGAAGGUGUGUCGUGAGGCAUGCUGGAGGUAUCAGAAGUGCGAAUGCUGACAUAAGUAACGAUAAAGCGGGUGAAAAGCCCGCUCGCCGGAAGACCAAGGGUUCCUGUCCAACGUUAAUCGGGGCAGGGUGAGUCGACCCCUAAGGCGAGGCCGAAAGGCGUAGUCGAUGGGAAACGGGUUAAUAUUCCCGUACUUGGUGUUACUGCGAAGGGGGACGGAGAAGGCUAUGUUGGCCGGGCGACGGUUGUCCCGGUUUAAGCGUGUAGGUGUGUGUUCCAGGUAAAUCCGGUUCACUUUAACACUGAGGCGUGACGACGAGGCACUACGGUGCUGAAGCAACAAAUGCCCUGCUUCCAGGAAAAGCCUCUAAGCAUCAGGUAACACGAAAUCGUACCCCAAACCGACACAGGUGGUCAGGUAGAGAAUACCAAGGCGCUUGAGAGAACUCGGGUGAAGGAACUAGGCAAAAUGGUGCCGUAACUUCGGGAGAAGGCACGCUGACACGUAGGUGAAGUGAUUUACUCAUGGAGCUGAAGUCAGUCGAAGAUACCAGCUGGCUGCAACUGUUUAUUAAAAACACAGCACUGUGCAAACACGAAAGUGGACGUAUACGGUGUGACGCCUGCCCGGUGCCGGAAGGUUAAUUGAUGGGGUCAGCGCAAGCGAAGCUCCUGAUCGAAGCCCCGGUAAACGGCGGCCGUAACUAUAACGGUCCUAAGGUAGCGAAAUUCCUUGUCGGGUAAGUUCCGACCUGCACGAAUGGCGUAAUGAUGGCCAGGCUGUCUCCACCCGAGACUCAGUGAAAUUGAACUCGCUGUGAAGAUGCAGUGUACCCGCGGCAAGACGGAAAGACCCCGUGAACCUUUACUAUAGCUUGACACUGAACAUUGAGCCUUGAUGUGUAGGAUAGGUGGGAGGCUUUGAAGUGUGGACGCCAGUCUGCAUGGAGCCGACCUUGAAAUACCACCCUUUAAUGUUUGAUGUUCUAACGUGGACCCGUAAUCCGGGUUGCGGACAGUGUCUGGUGGGUAGUUUGACUGGGGCGGUCUCCUCCUAAAGAGUAACGGAGGAGCACGAAGGUUGGCUAAUCCUGGUCGGACAUCAGGAGGUUAGUGCAAUGGCAUAAGCCAGCUUGACUGCGAGCGUGACGGCGCGAGCAGGUGCGAAAGCAGGUCAUAGUGAUCCGGUGGUUCUGAAUGGAAGGGCCAUCGCUCAACGGAUAAAAGGUACUCCGGGGAUAACAGGCUGAUACCGCCCAAGAGUUCAUAUCGACGGCGGUGUUUGGCACCUCGAUGUCGGCUCAUCACAUCCUGGGGCUGAAGUAGGUCCAAGGGUAUGGCUGUUCGCCAUUUAAAGUGGUACGCGAGCUGGGUUUAGAACGUCGUGAGACAGUUCGGUCCCUAUCUGCCGUGGGCGCUGGAGAACUGAGGGGGCUGCUCCUAGUACGAGAGGACCGGAGUGGACGCAUCACUGGUGUUCGGGUUGUCAUGCCAAUGGCACUGCCCGGUAGCUAAAUGCGGAAGAGAUAAGUGCUGAAAGCAUCUAAGCACGAAACUUGCCCCGAGAUGAGUUCUCCCUGAGACUUAGAGUCUCCUGAAGGAACGUUGAAGACGACGACGUUGAUAGGCCGGGUGUGUAAGCGCAGCGAUGCGUUGAGCUAACCGGUACUAAUGAACCGUGAGGCUUAACCUU